UGUAGAAGGUGGAGCUGAAAUCCAAGGUUCAUUAGUGCCUUGACUUAGCAAAGAACCGGUCUCAGGAUCAAAUGGCAGUUAGAAAGAAAUUCUUUGGGGCUUGGAAAAGUAGCCUUCCUAUUUUAUCUGUGUCAUUUUGCUCUUUAAUUUUGGUAGUGGUUGAAGAAGUAAUUGAAAGUGAAUUCAAAUGUCCUCAAAGAAAGAAUUUGAGAAUUUGCUAUGGCUUGUCCUUUUUCAUUUUUCCAGCCCUUAUUUUGCUUGUCCUGAGCUUGAUACUUCAGGAGGAUUUCAUUGGUCGUGCUCGCUGCUCAGAAAAAUGCAGUUGCUACCACGGCUGUGAAAUAGUGGGAAAGGCUGUUGGACCUUCUCUUUUAUGGUGCGUGAUUCUCCUCAUUGAUGGCCGAUACAGUGAUUGCAUAAAUACGGCAUUCAAGGGAAACAGCACAGAACCCACAGCACAAACAACACCAGCACAGACACCCAGUGAAGCGUACGUACUAUCGCAGGUUUUUGGACUAUUUGCCCUUUUUGUUAUCAUAUUUGUCUACUGCCUAUACACACUUUACCCAUUCUGGUUCUGCUGCAAUGAUAAAGAAGAACGUAAGAAGAUAGAGAGCCAGCGCAUACUAGAGGAAGAAACUAAAAUCUGUAUUUCAAAAGAGGAAAAGUAUGUGCAGGAAAUAGUGCAGAAUGUCCUGGUAUCUAAGUUUCAGAAUCGCCUGAAAAAUGUUUCAAAUGGCAUAAGUAUAAAAGGCAUAUUUGAAGAAGUAAAGAAGUUUCUUAACCCACCAGCAACAUCUCGAACUCCUCAAAUGGAAACUGAAAUGUGAAAGUUCCUCCUGAAUUGGAAAUCAGGCCAAGGUAGCCAAUACUGAUGUAAUCUUUAUGGAAAAGGCUGCAGCCCCACAUCUGUAUGGUGACUUUCAUAAAUCAAUACAACCAGAAACCACUGCCCCCACACUUUUUGAAAGAGUACAGAAAAUAGAAUUUAACAACAAAAUCAUGCUUUAUUAGGUACAGUGCAUAUUAGCACGUAGAAAACAGCUGUACUGCUGAGUGUUCCCCACAAUAUCUCCCACAGAUGUUAAAAAAUGUAUGUAGAAUUUAGUAUCAUUUGCAGUGUUGUUGUACCUGUGUUAGUCCCAGGAUAUUAGAAAGACAAGGUGGGUGAGGGAAUAUCUUUUAUUGGACCAACUUCUCUUGGUGUGAGAGACAAGGUUUCAAGUUUACACAGAGCUCUUCUUCAGGUUCUGCAUCUUGUCUUUCUGAAGAAUUUAAUGUCAUGUCAUUGAUUUGUCCUCAAGAGAAUCAUCCUAAAGACUUCCAGUAAUCUGCUGAUCAGGACAUAUUCUGUUUAUUGCAGGGCAGUUUCCUUGUGCAUUGAAAUCAUAACCAAAUAUCCCUGAUGCUGAGGAUUUUAAAUCUGUGCCCUGUGUCUGUUUCAGAGCUGUACUUUUCUCAAAACAUUUUCGGGUGCUGUUGUAGAAUGUUUCAUUUGGCUUGAUCAGGUUUAAGGACCCUUUUCUAGUUUCUCUAUCAUUGCUUGUGCUUAGGACUGGACAAAAGCUGUCUGUUCAAUAGCUCAGAUGGUCAGUUAGUUUUCUUACUGUAUUUUCUUUGUAAUUAUCUUUCUUAUUUUUAUGUAUGAAACCUUAAAAAUAAAAUUAUUUUGAAAUACA